rnacentral:rRNA from 1 species
CGUCUAUAUACGUAUAGCAUAUCAAUAAGCGGAGGAAAAGAAACUAACUAGGAUUCCCUCAGUAACGGCGAGUGAAGCGGGAAGAGCUCAAAUUUGAAAUCUUCAAGGUUCUACCUUGACGAAUUGUAGUUUGAAGAAGUGUUUUCUGUUGGAGUUUUGGUAAAAGUUCUUUGGAAUAGGACAUCAUAGAGGGUGAGAAUCCCGUAUUUGACCAUUAUUUCCAACUUUGUGAUACACUUUCAAAGAGUCGGAUUGUUUGGGAAUGCAGUCCAAAAUGGGUGGUAAAUUUCAUCUAAAGCUAAAUACUGGCGAGAGACCGAUAGCGAACAAGUACCGUGAGGGAAAGAUGAAAAGAACUUUGAAAAGAGAGUUAAACAGUACGUGAAAUUGUCAAAAGGGAAGCGUUUGACACCAGUGUUGUUUUCUCGAAAAUCAAUUAAAAAUGGCGGGAUUUUGUGUUGUAUUGACUUUAUCAGCUUUCUGCACUUUUUUCCUUGUCUUUUUUAAUGCACUUCUCGUUUAACAAGUCAACAUCAAUUUCUUUUGUUGUGAAAGGGUCAUUGGAAGGUGGCUUUCUUUUCGGAGAAAGUGUUUAUAGCCUUUGACUUCUGCAAUCGGAGAGACUGAGGUCCUGCAGCGUAGAUCCUUCUGGGAUUAGAUUACAUUUGUGCUAAGUUAUAGCUUUUAUAGACAACAUGUUGACUAUGAUUAGUCAUGUAGCUUACUCGCUUAUGUAAUUUUACCUACGCUUAGGAUGUUGACGAUCAGCUGAGCGCG